UUGGAGGACACGCUGGAGACACGUGGGCGAGAUCCAUGGUGGCCGACAUCAGCGCAUGGCAGGAAGCAGGCGACAGGUUAUUCUGUAAAAAGCAGCUUCAGGACUUGGCUUUGGCAGCCUUGAAGACGUCAGAGACACACCUACGGUGCCGCAUGGUGGGGGGGGUUUGGAACAAUCAGCCCCUCCAGAGAGAGCUGUCUACAAAAGCAAUCCUCGCAGCCCACCCUAACUGAGCACCUACUAUGUGCUAGCGCUGUGCCAAGUGCAUAAGUGAAUCCCUUCAGGCAGCCUGGAGCUCAGGACUGCAGGCUCUGGAGCCAGGCAGCCUGGGGACACCUCUUCUACCUCCUCCCGCUGACUGUGGGGAGAAGCUCCACCUCCUGCUGCCUCAGUUGCUCUUUAUAAAAUGGGGCCAAUGAUAGCAACUUGCCUCACUACACAGCAGCUGAGCAGGUGAGUAAUGAGGUCAGCGCAGAGCGUCCGGGUGCCUGCCUCACGUGAAUACUCAACAAAGCACGCCACUCUCCACAACUUAUGCGCCUCAGCUGCUAGAACAGCGCCCACAUCAGAAUACUGCUACAUAGAAGCUGCCAAAUGGAAAGCAAAUCAUGCACGUUCAAAUCCUCGACCUGAGGCCAUGAGGCUGGAGAACUGCCACCCAUUUCACAGAGGGGGAGGUUGAGACUCUCCCAAGGCCAUGGAGCCGGCCAGCAGCACCACCAAGAUACAAAACCCGGGACUGUUUGGCU
rnacentral:lncRNA from 10 species